AUCUUGGUGGUGAAAUGAUACACACAAGACUCAAAAUCUCAUGCUUAAGAGGGUGGAGGUUCGAGUCCUCUUCAAGGCA
rnacentral:tRNA from 1 species